UAACAUAUGCUUGUUUAAAAGAUUAAGCCAUGCAUGUCUAAGUAUAAACAUCUAUACUAGUGAAACUGCGUACAGCUCAUUAUAUCAGUUAUUAUUUAUUUGAAGGUGACUCACUACAUGGAUACCUGUAGUAAUUCUAGAGCUAAUACAUGCGUAAAGUUCCAACUCUCGGGAAGGAAUGUAUUUAUUAGAUAAAAAAUCAAUGCAGGUUUUACCUGCUUCAUUGGUGAUUCAUAGUAACUGUUCGGACCGUAUGGCCUUGUGCUGACGGUAGUUCAUUCAAAUUUCUGCCCUAUCAGCUUUCGAUGGUUGUGUCGUGGACAACCAAGGCAUCGACGGGUAACGGAGAAUUAGGGUUCGAUUCCGGAGAAGGAGCCUGAGAAACGGCUACUACAUCCAAGGAAGGCAGCAGGCGCGCAAAUUACCCAAUACUUACACAGUGAGGUAGUGACAAAAAAUAACAAUACCGGGCAUUUAUGUCUGGUAAUUGGAAUGAGUACAAUUUAAAUAUCUUAACGAGAAUCCAUU
rnacentral:rRNA from 1 species